rnacentral:misc_RNA from 1 species
GAUGAAGAACGCAGCGAAAUGCGAUAAGUAAUGUGAAUUGCAGAAUUCAGUGAAUCAUCGAAUCUUUGAACGCUCAUCGCGCCCCUUGGUAUUCCGAGGGGCAUGCCUGUUCGAGCGUCAUUAUAACCCCUCAAGCUCAGCUUGGUGUUGGGGCCUGCUGCACUGGCAGCCCUUAAAAUCAGUGGCGGCGCCAUCUGGCUCUAAGCGUAGUAAUUCUUCUCGCUAUGGAGUCCUGGUGGAUGCUUGCCAUCAACCCCCAAUUUUUCUAUGGUUGACCUCGGAUCAGGUAGGGAUACCCGCUGAACUUAAGCAUAUCAAUAAGCGGAGGA